rnacentral:lncRNA from 1 species
CGCAGACAUGAAGACUACUCAUCUUUGUGGAUUUUUGGCGAUAACUUUAUUAGCAAUAUUUUCUACUGUUUGCUCGGGAUAUCACUUGCAGAAUUCCCAUGAUGCCUCAAAUUUUGCUGUUAGUAACGAGAUCAGGGAUAUAUCAAGACCAAAAAGGGAAAUAGAAAAUUUUGAUACGGAUGACUACCCUACUACUCCCAAUCAAGAAGUCCAAGA